UGACAAAUUUGCUACUAUCUC
rnacentral:piRNA from 1 species